AUGAGGAAGUUACGUGCUAUGCUUCAUCAAGUUAUGGUAGUAGCGGAUAUCCACAGCGCCCUGUGUAUUAUAAGAUGAUUCAUGAUCAUCCCUAUUGGAAUUGAAAGAUGCUCGACCUUGUGACAAUCUUAUAAUAAAAAUAUGCAUAUCAUUUCCUCUAUAUUCAACGUUUAUUUGAACAUCUGUUGUAACCCUGCUAGGAUUUUAGUUGAGUUUUGUGCUUAACUUCUCGUUAUCGAGAGUUAAUAUUUUGUAAUUUGUACACUUAUCAAGAUGUCAUGUUUGAGUGAAUCUUGGCUCUACACGUCUAGAGCAUUCGAUUAAUUCACAAAAAUAGACGUUUUAGUGUGACAUAUCGAGUCUCGUACGUGUUAGUCGGUUAGGCAAAUGGGG
rnacentral:lncRNA from 1 species